CUGAGGCACAGAGAAGUGAAAUGGUUUGUCCAAGUUCACACGGAAGGCAAGUGGCAGAACUGGCCAUUCUUCCCAGUCCAUGAAGAAGAGCGACAAAACUUCUGGCCACCAGCAAUACAACGCUUCGGUGUACUCUUCUCUGAAAAUCUAUCCUGUGGAGGAAGGUUUUCCUUCUCUACUGCCAUUAUUGGGUCUGAUAUUUCAAAAUGCCAGGCUGGGAAACCCCUACCUGUCUGGGGCAGAAGAAGAAUCAGGAACAUCCAGGACAGGGAAAAGGCCCCUUCGACUGGGGAGACUGGUCAGUCUCUCAAGGUCCAGAACUGAGUCCUCAGUGACCCCGACGGCUGAGGGAGGAUGAAGAAGCCCUUGGUAGCCUCAUUACUGAUCCUGGGGCUUCAGCUGGGCUGGGCGAGCGGCCAGAGUGAGGUGAAGCAGACUCCUUCAUCCCUGAGCAUCCGCGCGGGAGUGAACAGCACCUUGAACUGCAACUACUCAACUAAAAAUUUUAAUAGUUUACAGUGGUUCCGGCAAUAUGCUGGAAAAGGCCCUGAAUCCCUUUUUAUCCUGAGCUUACAUGGAUUUGAUAAAAAGGAAGGAAGAUUAACAGCCACCCUCAAUACUCAAAAAGGGACUAGCUCCCUGCACAUCAGGAGCUCUCACCUCGAAGACUCAGCCACAUACCUCUGUGCCGUGAAUGCACAGUGAUCCUCAAACACCUGCAGCCUGUACAGAAACCUGCAGCUGGGGGUCCAAAACACCCACUGGGGAAUCCUGCUAUGUGGCCCAUAAUUGAUGUCACCUCUGACUGAAAAGUGAAAUUAACCUGCCUUUUGGUAUAAUGAGCAGUAAUACCUGUAGCCAGUCAGCCUUUCAGUAAAUUCAUUUGAUCACUCAUUCAAUUGGUCAGUUAGGAGGAUUUCUCAAGAACUCUACCCCAAGACCCCUGCAUCAAACACAAAAAGGAAACCGUCACUGUACCUGGGAAGCCAAGAAAGCAAAAAGAAACUUAAUUCUCAAAAUAUGAAGGGGAGAUAGACACACACACACACACCAAAAAAAAAAACCCCAACCCAAACAAACAGGAAAGGAUGUAGCUGGCAAAAUGUUUCUGCUUCACUUGUUUGGUAGAGUGAUCAUUGUAACUAGAAUCCAGUGGGAUAAAUCUGGGGAGGCUUCUGUGAGGAGGUCAUUUGUCCUAGAGGUUCAAAUGAGUAAAGUGAUGGUGUUGAGGCAGAAGAGGGAAAGGACAUUCCAAGGAUGGAACAGAUCCUGGGAGCCACCACAGCUUCUAAGAGAAACAUCAAAAUGAGCCUGAAAUAGCAAGAAGGAAGGGGUUCUUUCCACUGGGUGUGGGCUGCACUGGGGUUGGGUGAAGACACAAUCUAUAUGGAGCUUGGGGGCUUGAAUUCCUCAAGGAUUCCAGUGGAAUCCACUAUUAUCUCUGGAGUCACUGGAGAAUCUAAUGUGAAACCCCCAAACUACAUGGGGCUGAGAGCAAGAAAACAUACCACUAAGUCCAUCCUCCACAAGACUCAAACCCCUAAGAACAGACUGAGGGCACUUGCUAAUGUACUUUGAGGUCCAUAAACCAACUUUCUCGUGUCACCAGCAAUGACCCUAUCCAUUAGAAAUGAGCAGAGAUGAAGGUCUCUGCACAUCUAAUUAUCCUGAACGCACCCCAGUGCUUAGUACAUAGCUUGGCACAUAAUAAGCACCCAACAAAUGCCAUAAUAAUAAAAAAGAAUUGAUUUUGGGGAACAUUCCUCCGCUUCAUUGAUUUCACCACAAGAGGGCACGAUCAUCUAGUAAAGAGCCAUUUCUUUCAGAUUCACAGGAUGUCUGCUGUCCUUAAAAUGUUGUCUCUUACUAGGAUCUCAUCUUCUCUGUGUGACACUGAGCGACUGCUACUGAGAGAGCAAAGAAUCUCCGAUCAUGAACUUUAUUCUCGGCACAGCGAUUGUGAUCUGGUUACUGUUGGAGGAGACGGAUGGAGAGUCGGUGAACCAGAGAGAAGGCCACGUGACUCUCGUUGAAGGAGAAACGCUCAUUCUCAACUGCAUUUAUGAAUCUUCUUAUUCCCCUAAUUUCUUCUGGUAUGUCCAGUUUCCUCAGAAAGCCCCUCGGUUCCUCCUGCGAGACAUGUCAAAGGGAGAGCAGAAUGGUUUUUAUGCCAAACUCAAUCAGACUGAGAAGUCUUUCCACUUGAGGAAACGCAGUGUCGCCUUGGAAGACUCCGCUGUGUACCACUGUGCUAUG